ACUUUUAAAAGGGUAACAGUUACCCAAUGGCUUUAGGCGCCAUCUAGCUUGGUGCAACUCCAAAUAAAAGUA
rnacentral:tRNA from 1 species